rnacentral:lncRNA from 1 species
CUGGAAACCAGCAAUGACCAUCAGAGGGGACAGGGAAGGGGAGGACUGAUUGGUCAAGAUGAACAUAUAGAUAAUGAUAACAUUUGUAUAAUGCAUGGGAGGAAAUGGAUGAGGACACUUGAAGUCAGAGGUGACCAGUCUAUGAGCUCUGGCUGCCCCAGGGCCCACCUGGAAAAUGAAGAAGAUUGAAGUUAAUCCAUGGCUGUUGCCCAUUCUCUACACUUAAGUGUGCCAGGUGCCAGUACUGGAAGGCAUAGGGAUAAUGAGAGCCUGGAACCAGAGCCUGGUGGUUCUACCAGAAGAGGAAGCCAACACUGCAGAUGGCAGAGUUAAGAGGAGAGAAACUGAAUUGUGAUGAAUUUCGUGAUGAGCCUGUGAACUGGUUGUUGCUUUCAUGGUGCCCAUCUUACCCGUGAGAAGGUAGGUAUUGUGUCCCUGACUUGCAGGUAGAAUGUAAGUGGUAUGCUUUGGCCA